rnacentral:rRNA from 1 species
CGAACGGGUGAGUAACACGUGAGUAACCUGCCCUUCACUCUGGGAUAACUCCGGGAAACCGGGGCUAAUACUGGAUAUGACUCGAACAGGCAUCUGUAUCGGGUGGAAAGAUUUAUUGGUGGGGGAUGGACUCGCGGCCUAUCAGCUUGUUGGUGAGGUAAUGGCUCACCAAGGCGACGACGGGUAGCCGGCCUGAGAGGGCGACCGGCCACACUGGGACUGAGACACGGCCCAG